rnacentral:lncRNA from 1 species
GGGGGAGGGGCUGUUACUCACACGCGCCGGUCUGGGUUCAGAUCAGUUCUGUUCUGUGGUCUCCCAAGGCCCUUGAUUUAUAGGGUCCCCGCGGACGGAAGCUUUCCCCCUGUCAGCGGGUCUCCACUGAAUCAGCGGCAGGAGUCCUGGAUGAUCCCCCGGUCGCGCGGCCCCUCCCCCGCUCCUUCCCAACCCACGCCGCAGCGAUCGCAGACUCUAGGGGAGGGAGCGAAGUUCUCUCUAUCGUUCCAGCGCCUCCGAGGGUGUAAAGCAAGGUUAUGAUCUCCGCCUUCUUGGUAUUUCCUGUACUGCCGCAACAUCUGGAGACAAAGGGGAAUAAUUGCUGGCUAGUAGACGACCAAUAGUAUCCUUCUGUUCCACCUGCUUCAAGAUGGCUGACUCCCAGCUGCUGCGUAAAGAGGAGGAAGGGGGUCAGAAUUGCCUUGUAACACAGGCCAACCUGGAUUAGAGGAGAGAAGCUCUAUUCCUUGGCUAACAGUGACUGAGAGAAUUUGUGGCUGGCAGAGCCUUCUUAGAAACAGUACUAAAGGAAGUCCCUCCACCUGAGAGGAAACAAUAACAGAUGGUGAUUCAAAUCUGCAUGAAGAAAUGAAGAGGACUGAAGGA